rnacentral:rRNA from 1 species
UACGGAGGGGGCUAGCGUUGGUCGGAAUUACUGGGCGUAAAGCGCGCGUAGGCGGCGAUCUAAGUCAGAGGUGAAAGCCCAGGGCUCAACCCUGGAACUGCCUUUGAAACUGUUGGGCUUGAGUACGGGAGAGGUGAGUGGAAUUCCGAGUGUAGAGGUGAAAUUCGUAGAUAUUCGGAAGAACACCAGUGGCGAAGGCGGCUCACUGGACCGUAACUGACGCUCAUGCACGAUAGCGUGGGGAGCAAACAGG